ACGAACGCUGGCGGCGUGCUUAACACAUGCAAGUCGAACGGAAAGGCCCUGCUUUUGUGGGGUGCUCGAGUGGCGAACGGGUGAGUAACACGUGAGUAACCUGCCCUUGACUUUGGGAUAACUUCAGGAAACUGGGGCUAAUACCGGAUAGGAGCUCCUGCUGCGUGGUGGGGGUUGGAAAGUUUCGGCGGUUGGGGAUGGACUCGCGGCUUAUCAGCUUGUUGGUGGGGUAGUGGCUUACCAAGGCUUUGACGGGUAGCCGGCCUGAGAGGGUGACCGGCCACAUUGGGACUGAGAUACGGCCCAGACUCCUACGGGAGGCAGCAGUGGGGAAUAUUGCACAAUGGGCGGAAGCCUGAUGCAGCAACGCCGCGUGCGGGAUGACGGCCUUCGGGUUGUAAACCGCUUUCGCCUGUGACGAAGCGUGAGUGACGGUAAUGGGUAAAGAAGCACCGGCUAACUACGUG
rnacentral:rRNA from 1 species